GAUGAACGCUAGCGGCAGGCCUAAUACAUGCAAGUCGAACGGUUGUAGUGAUACAAUAGUGGCGCACGGGUGCGUAACACGUAUGCAACCUACCUUAUAGACGGGGAUAGCCUUUGGAAACGGAGAUUAAUACCCGAUAGUAACCUUGAUUGGCAUCAAUUAAUGUUUAAAGAUUUAUCGCUAUAAGCUGGGCAUGCGUCCAAUUAGUUAGUUGGUUAGGUAAUGGCUGACCAAGACGAUGAUUGGUAGGGGAACUGAGAGGUUAAUCCCCCACACUGGCACUGAGAUACGGGCCAGACUCCUACGGGAGGCAGCAGUAGGGAAUAUUGGGCAAUGGAGGCAACUCUGACCCAGCCAUGCCGCGUGCAGGAUGAAGGCGUUAUGCGUUGUAAACUGCUUUUAUAUAGGAAGAAAUAGACCUUGCGAGGUAAGUUGACGGUACUAUAUGAAUAAGCACCGGCUAACUCCGUGCCAGCAGCCGCGGUAAUACGGAGGGUGCAAGCGUUGUCCGGAUUUAUUGGGUUUAAAGGGUGCGUAGGCGGUUUAUUAAGUCAGUGGUGAAAGACGGUCGCUCAACGAUUGCAGUGCCAUUGAUACUGGUAGACUUGAGUGAGAUUGAGGUAGCUGGAAUGGAUAGUGUAGCGGUGAAAUGCAUAGAUAUUAUCCAGAACACCAAUUGCGUAGGCAAGUUACUAAGUCUCAACUGACGCUGAGGCACGAAAGUGUGGGUAUCAAACAGGAUUAGAUACCCUGGUAGUCCACACUGUAACGAUGAUACUACUGUGGCUUUCGGGUCAGUG
rnacentral:rRNA from 1 species